UCUCCUAUUGGCCGGCCCCUGUCAUGUGGAGGGGGAGGCAAGUCGGCGCCCCUGCCUGCCUCACAUGACGGGGCACCCCCACCCCCUCCAACGCGCCACGCAUGCGCAGAACACCUGCAAGAGACACGGACGCAGGUGCCAUUUUUAAACCUGCACCAGUGAUGACAAUAGAGGACUGGUAGCCUGGAGCCCUCUUACUGCUGCUCAGAGUUUGAAAUGAACAGUUACAGCAGCAAAUGAAGAAAGUUGUCCCAUCUUUAAGUACUUUGAGAGGAUAAAUGACAAUCUGCUGGAAGGCAGUUGGAAGUUGAAAGGCAAGUCUGCCUCAAACAGAGAGAAGAAGCUCCUUACCCCUAGGAAGAUGUUUUUGGAGGAGUCAAAGCCAGCAGCAUAUAUUCUUGCUGUGAAAGGAGGAUUUCGUUC